rnacentral:lncRNA from 1 species
GUUCUGGUUGUGAUGGCAUAGUAGGACGGUAAAAACAUUGUGAACCAUAUACCGACAUUGGUGUGUUUGAAUUUGUAGCAAACAUUGAUGGUUGUGAUGGCAUAGUAGGACGGUAAAAACCUUGUGAACCAUAUGCCGACAUUGGUGUAUUUGAACUGGUAGCAAACAUUGAUGGCAAUGAUUGUUGAUAUUGAGAACCUUCUCCCAUAUGGUAGGUAGUUGGAAAUGUUGUGAAAGCU